AGUGAACGCUGGCGGUAUGCCUAACACAUGCAAGUCGAACGGCAGCACAGUAGCUUCUUGCUGUUACCGGUUGCCAAUCGCGUACGUGUGACGUAUACAUCGGAACCUACUCUUUCGUGUGGGACUACGUAACUGGACUUACUCUAAUACCGCAUACGACCGACGGGUGUAAGGAGGGGAGCUUCGUACCUUGCGCGAUUGACUGAGCCGUUGCCGGGUUAGAUGGUUGGAGGGGUCAAGGGCCACCAAGGCGACGAGCCGUAGCUGGUGUGAGAGGAUGAUCGGCCACACUGGAACUGAGACACGGUCAAGACUCCUACGGGAGGGAGCAGUGGGGAACAGUGGGCAAUGGGAGCAAGCAUGAUCCAGCGAUAGGGCGUGGGUGAAGAAGGCCUUCGGGUUGGAAAGCCGUUUUGUUGGGAGAGAAAAGCAGCAGGUUAAGACCCAGCUGUUCUGACGGUACCCAAAGAAUAAGCACCGGCUAACUUCGUG
rnacentral:rRNA from 1 species